ACUCCCGUAGCCCAACUAGGCAGAGGCGUUAGGUCGAGAGCCUAAUUAGUACCAGUUCAAAUCUGGUCGGGAGUA
rnacentral:tRNA from 1 species